GACGAACGCUGGCGGCGUGCUUAACACAUGCAAGUCGAACGGAAAGGCCCUGCUUUUGUGGGGUGCUCGAGUGGCGAACGGGUGAGUAACACGUGAGUAACCUGCCCUUGACUUUGGGAUAACUUCAGGAAACUGGGGCUAAUACCGGAUAGGAGCUCCUGCUGCAUGGUGGGGGUUGGAAAGUUUCGGCGGGUGGGGAUGGACUCGCGGCUUAUCAGCUUGUUGGUUGGGUAGUGGCUUACCGAGGCUUUGACGGGUAGCCGGCCUGAGAGGGUGACCGGCCACAUUGGGACUGAGAUACGGCCCAGACUCCUACGGGAGGCAGCAGGGGGGAAUAUUGCACAAUGGGCGGAAGCCUGAUGCAGCAACGCCGCGGGCGGGAUGACGGCCUUCGGGUUGUAAACCGCUUUCGCCUGUGACGAAGCGGGAGUGACGGUAAUGGGUAAAGAAGCACCGGCUAACUACGUG
rnacentral:rRNA from 1 species